rnacentral:rRNA from 1 species
GGACCCGCACAAGCGGUGGAGCAUGUGGUUUAAUUCGAUGCAACGCGAAGAACCUUACCUGGUCUUGACAUCCUGCGAACUUUCUAGAGAUAGAUUGGUGCCUUCGGGAACGCAGUGACAGGUGCUGCACGGCUGUCGUCAGCUCGUGUUGUGAAAUGUUGGGUUAAGUCCCGCAACGAGCGCAACCCCUAUUGAUAGUUACCAUCAUUAAGUUGGGUACUCUAUUGAGACUGCCGCUGACAAGGCGGAGGAAGGUGGGGACGACGUCAAGUCAUCAUGGCCCUUACGACCAGGGCUACACACGUGCUACAAUGGGUAUUACAGAGGGCUGCGAAGGUGCGAGCUGGAGCGAAACUCAGAAAGGUACUCUUAGUCCGGAUCGGAGUCUGCAACUCGACUCCGUGAAGUCGGAAUCGCUAGUAAUCG